UACGUAGGGGGCUAGCGUUGUCCGGAUUUAUUGGGCGUAAAGCGCGUGUAGGCGGCCGGCUAGGUCUGGUGUGAAAACUCGAGGCUCAACCUCGAGAUGUCGCCGGAAACCAGUCGGCUAGAGUCCGGAAGAGGAGAGUGGAAUUCCUGGUGUAGCGGUGAAAUGCGCAGAUAUCAGGAAGAACACCGGUGGCGAAGGCGGGUCUCUGGGCCACUACUGACGCUGAGGCGCGAAAGCUAGGGGAGCAAACGGG
rnacentral:rRNA from 1 species